rnacentral:rRNA from 1 species
CCUACGGGAGGCAGCAGUGGGGAAUAUUGGGCAAUGGGCGAAAGCCUGACCCAGCAACGCCGCGUGAAGGAUGAAGGCUCUAGGGUUGUAAACUUCUUUUGACAGGGAAGAGCAGAAGACGGUACCUGUAGAGUAAGCCACGGCUAACUACGUGCCAGCAGCCGCCGUAAUACGUAGGUGGCAAGCGUUGUCCGGGUUUACAGGGUGUAAAGGGCGUGUUGCCGGGCAGUAUAGUCAGAUGUGAAAUAUGGGGGCUCAAUCCCCGAACCGCGUUUGAAACUGUUGGGCUUGAGUAUAGGAGAGGCAGGCGGAAUAAGUAGUGUAGCGGUGAAAUGCGUAGAUAUUAGGAAGAACACCAGUAGCGAAGGCAGCCUGCUGGACGACAACUGACGGUGAGGCGCGAAAGCGUGGGGAGCAAACAGGAUUAGAUACCCUAGUAGUC